AACUGAUACUACCUGCGGGAACCUGCGGAGGGAUCAUUACCGAGUUAGGGUAGUCACUCACUGCCCGACCUCCCAACCCUGUGUCUACCACACUUUGUCGUUGCCUCGGCGGACCGGUUGACCAACUGGUCGUGACCGCCGGGGGCUGGCUCUGUCCCCCCUGGAGAGCGUCCGUCGAUGGCCCAACCACAAAACUCUUGUACCGAAACGUGUCGUCUGAAUUAUAUUUGAGAAAUCAAA
rnacentral:misc_RNA from 1 species